rnacentral:rRNA from 1 species
AACGAACGCUGGCGGCAUGCCUAACACAUGCAAGUCGAACGAGACCUUCGGGUCUAGUGGCGCACGGGUGCGUAACGCGUGGGAACCUGCCCUUAGGUUCGGAAUAACUCCCCGAAAGGGGUGCUAAUACCGGAUAAUGUCUUCGGACCAAAGAUUUAUCGCCUUUGGAUGGGCCCGCGUUGGAUUAGCUAGUUGGUAGGGUAAAAGCCUACCAAGGCGACGAUCCAUAGCUGGUCUGAGAGGAUGAUCAGCCACAAUGGGACUGAGACACGGCCCAGACUCCUACGGGAGGCAGCAGUGGGGAAUAUUGGACAAUGGGCGAAAGCCUGAUCCAGCAAUGCCGCGUGAGUGAUGAAGGCCUUAGGGUUGUAAAGCUCUUUUACCCGGGAUGAUAAUGACAGUACCGGGAGAAUAAGCGCCGGCUAACUCCGUG